rnacentral:rRNA from 1 species
UACAGAGGGUGCGAGCGUUGUUCGGAAUUAUUGGGCGUAAAGCGCAUGUAGGCGGCUUGUUAAGUCGCGUGUGAAAUCUCCAGGCUCAACCUGGAAAGUGCGCGCGAAACUGGCGAGCUUGAGUGCCGGAGAGGGUGGCGGAAUUCCCGGUGUAGAGGUGAAAUUCGUAGAUAUCGGGAGGAACACCAGAGGCGAAGGCGGCCACCUGGACGAACACUGACGCUGAGACGCGAAAGCGUGGGGAGCAAACAGG